UACGGGGGGGGCAAGCGUUGUUCGGAAUUACUGGGCGUAAAGGGCUCGUAGGUGGCCAACUAAGUCAGACGUGAAAUCCCUCGGCUUAACCGGGGAACUGCGUCUGAUACUGGAUGGCUUGAGUUUGGGAGAGGGAGGCGGAAUUCCAGGUGUAGCGGUGAAAUGCGUAGAUAUCUGGAGGAACACCGGUGGCGAAGGCGGCGUCCUGGACCAACACUGACACUGAGGAGCGAAAGCCAGGGGAGCAAACGGG
rnacentral:rRNA from 1 species